AGCGAACGCUGGCGGCAGGCCUAACACAUGCAAGUCGAACGAACUCUUCGGAGUUAGUGGCGGAUGGGUGAGUAACACGUGGGAACGUGCCUUUAGGUUCGGAAUAACUCAGGGAAACUUGUGCUAAUACCGAAUGUGCCCUUCGGGGGAAAGAUUUAUCGCCUUUAGAGCGGCCCGCGUCUGAUUAGCUAGUUGGUGAGGUAGAGGCUCACCAAGGCGACGAUCAGUAGCUGGUCUGAGAGGAUGAUCAGCCACAUUGGGACUGAGACACGGCCCAAACUCCGACGGGAGGCAGCAGUGGGGAAUCUUGCGCAAUGGGCGAAAGCCUGACGCAGCCAUGCCGCGUGAAUGAUGAAGGUCUUAGGAUUGUAAAAUUCUUUCACCGGGGACGAUAAUGACGGUACCCGGAGAAGAAGCCCCGGCUAACUUCGUGCCAGCCGCCGCCGUAA
rnacentral:rRNA from 1 species